GACGAACGCUGGCGGCGUGCUUAACACAUGCAAGUCGAACGGUAAGGCCCUUCGGGGUACACGAGUGGCGAACGGGUGAGUAACACGUGGGUGAUCUGCCCUGCACUUCGGGAUAAGCCUGGGAAACUGGGUCUAAUACCGGAUAGGACCACUGCCUGCAUGGGUGGUGGUGGAAAGCUUUUGCGGUGUGGGAUGGGCCCGCGGCCUAUCAGCUUGCUGGUGGGGCGAUGGCCUACCAAGGCGACGACGGGUAGCCGGCCUGAGAGGGUGACCGGCCACACUGGGACUGAGAUACGGCCCAGACCCCUACGGGAGGCAGCAGUGGGGAAUAUUGCACAAUGGGCGCAAGCCUGAUGCAGCGACGCCGCGUGAGGGAUGACGGCCUUCGGGUUGUAAACCUCUUUCAGCACCGACGAAGCGCAAGUGACGGUAGGUGCAGAAGAAGGACCGGCCAACUACGUGCCAGCAGCCGCAGUAA
rnacentral:rRNA from 1 species